ACUGUGCCUGGUUGUGAUCUUAUAAAUAGUGUGAAUGCGAAUUGCAUGUGGAAGGUGUGUUAUCAGGCUUUGUAUAAGCGAGUAUUUCAGGCUGAGACAAGCUUACAGGCACAAUGGAGCUUCACACGCACGGCAGUUGCUGAAUGAAAACACAGUUUCACAGCCAUUUUGGAUUUUUAAAAUGAAUCAAAUGAAACAAACAGCCAGCUGAUAUUAGCACUAACGAUUCUUUAAAGAUUUUCAACUGGCUAGAUGAUAUUUUUUAUAUGUUUUUAUAAGCAGCAACUUAUACAUUUUUAGUGAGCCAUCAGUCAUAUAUUACGUCCUGACAUUAGUUUGCAGUCUUCAGUAACUGUUCAAAAUAUCCCCUAACAUUUUGUUAAUCUACAUUAUAAUUUUGAUGUAUUCCAAUUGACUCAUCACCUAGCUUGCACUAAAUGCAAUGACGAAAAGGAAAACACACAAGCUGGAACAUGAGUGUAUAGCACAGUGUCUCAAGCCAACUCACCAAACAGGUUGAUCCUCCUCCCAAUCAUCUGGCGCAAGAAUUGUUUGAUGAGUAAGAAAACAAUGUAAAUCAUAUGCUAUACCCUUUACAUUCAUCAAAUUUUCCCCCUUAUUUAUGUACCUAUGUUGUAGAUUUUGAUGUGAAAUGUUAGACAGCACUCUCCAUCAUUCUCCAUCAUCAGAACACCAAGAAAAGUGCUCCUCCCUCCUAUACACAUCCAGAACCUUCUGGAAUCUACAUCACGGUGCAUUUAAACUCUUCUGAUGAAUCCAACACGUUCCUAAGAUGCUUUAUGUUGUUUCUGCCUCUAAUUUGCCACCUGUCUAUAUAAUUUUAUAACUAGGUGAUGAUUAUGAAUUACAGAACAUAGGGGAAUGCUGUCAUCUAGUGGUUAGAUCUUUAGAUUUAUUAUUUAUUUAAGUAUGGAAAAAAAACCUUUUUUUGUCUGUGAAUUUUGUGGAAUAAAGUUUAA